UAAGAAAGUGCAUUCCUUCUACCUAGUGACA
rnacentral:piRNA from 1 species